UCCCGCAAUGUUUUUUGUUUCUUAUUCAAUACCACGUCCAGCUGGUGGCGGUAAUGCACCAUUAACAUUGGAUGCCCAUCGUUAACCCGCAUCGAAGAAGAAGCCAUUGAUUGGCAAGGCCAUCAGAAGCGAGAUAGAAGGCAUCUGCCAUUUAACUGUAUUAGGGCAAACUUUGUGAGGGAAUAAACCAAUCACAUUGUGACUUCUGAAGGGUGGGACCGUUUUUACAAAGACAAAUGGAAACUUCUGCCUUCUCAAAGGCCAACAGGUCACUGUGCAAUUGCAAGCUGUAGGUUUCCCACAGACGAGGACCUACUGGCUUAUUAUGUCCGAAGGAACGGACUGCUUAUCCUUUAACUGUGUUUGACUGCUGUCUUUCCAUCGGCCCUAUGCAGUGGUGUCGUGGUGCCUGGAGAAUGGGCCUGGCUCACUAGUGUGUGGGCAUGUGUCCAGGCCCACUCAUGCCCACGCCCCUGAUGCAAACAGUACACGAUGACUGACCUGUGCAUCACAAAAAGCCUUUGGACCAAACUCAUUCAAUACAUGGUUUGCAUACCCAUUGUUGCCUUAGUUAGUGUUUUCUAUCUACCCUACCGAUGACAUUCUUCUGUGAGCUCCAUGCCAAAACCAAUUGGUCUUGCUGCCUGCAGAUGAUAUUCCGCUGAAACUAGGCUAUGUGUGCUGUGCGCAUGUGACUUUAUUUCACGUACUUUGUGAUUGUGUAGGUUAAUUUGUGCAUGAUGGUACUACAUAGAUUGUACUACAUAAUUGAUAAGUCAUAAAGUCAUAUACCUACACUACUUUGAUAUGCAUCAAUGGGGAUUAAGAAGUGAGUAUAAGCAAUGCUCACUGGGAAAAAAGGGUGGUUAUAUGAUAUAUACAGUUGAAAUUGGAAGUUUACAUACACAUAGGUUGGAGUCAUUAAAACUUGUUUUUCAACCAUCCCAAAACUAUAAUUUGUAAACAAGAAAUGUGUGGAAAGUCGGUUAGGACAUCUACUUUGUGCAUGACACAAGUCAUGUUUUCAACAAUUGUUUACAGACAGAUUAUUUCACUUAUAAAUCACUGUAUCACAAUUCCAGUGGGUCAGAAGUUUACAUACACUAAG